rnacentral:misc_RNA from 1 species
GAUGAAGAACGCAGUGAAAUGCGAUAAGUAAUGUGAAUUGCAGAAUUCAGUGAAUCAUCGAAUCUUUGAACGCACAUUGCGCCCUCUGGUAUUCCGGGGGGCAUGCCUGUUCGAGCGUCAUUAUAACCACUCAAGCUCUCGCUUGGUAUUGGGGCUCGCGGUUCCGCGGCCCCUAAAAUCAGUGGCGGUGCCUGUCGGCUCUACGCGUAGUAAUACUCCUCGCGAUUGAGUCCGGUAGGUCUACUUGCCAGCAACCCCCAAUUUUUACAGGUUGACCUCGGAUCAGGUAGGGAUACCCGCUGAACUUAAGCAUAUCAAUAAGCGGAGGA